UCCACCCGACUGAACACACUUUAUUGGCUUAGAAUUAUGGCAACAAUCGCUAAACACAUUGAUAACUCACGGUCCUCCCGAUUUACAGCCUCCCUCUCUUGGCUUAAAAUAACUCACUGUUGUCAGCUACGACCGCUGAACAGGCUACACGUUGUAAACAGCUGUGGCCUGCUUGCCUGGUCCUCCGGUAACGUUAGCAUGGCAGAAUUAGCCAGUCCUGGCUAAUGCAGCUAAUGCUGCCUCCGGCUGCUCAUAGAGACCAAUAAUGUUAUUUCUCCAGGUCGUAGGACGGCUCGUUUUGAAUACAAUGAGUUUGUAGCUCGUUGUUAACCUUACUACUUUAGGAAAUCUGCGUCGUUUGUGAUUAUAAUAGAUAAUUGAUCCCAGAAGUUCAAAUCUGUGAAUAUCUUUCUAAUUUUGCUUACGUUUAUAAAACCGAGAGCACAGAUUAGGAAUCUGUGCGCACGUUUUUUUUUUUUAUCAGCAGACCCCUGGGGGCCCCGUACGUUACAGCUGUAGCGCGCUGGGUUAACGUUUUCACAGUGCUUGGCGUUGUUUCCAGGUCCCAGGGGUUUAAGGCCCAGACAGGUGACACAACCUCAACUGAGUGCUUUGCCUGGUCCAACAAUGUAUGAAAGCCAGCAGAGAGAGGGAGGUGGUGUCUGCCAUUCGUGGGGAGUGAGAGGUCGUCUGGAAUAUUCUCCGUGAGCACGAUGCUAGCAUCUUACCUGCAGUCUCUGCUACAGUUUUCCUCUGUGAUACCGUCCUCAUCAUCCCCCCAAAUGUCCACUGAGGAAAAAAUUAGCACCACCAGUACAGCACAGCAGCAGAGAAGGGCAAAGAUGGCAAUGCACUUCUGUUGGGUCUGAAGGACGAGUAAGACACAUUUAGCUAAAAUCAGACUUCAUUUUUGUGAAGGAUGCAUGACUCUGUAGAACUCAACUCUUCCCCAUGUUGUUAUACAGCAACUUGCAGUGAAGACAUUGACAUGGUUUUGGGUGGUGUACAAAAGGGAAAUCAGCCGUUAAAUGCCAAUGUCCUCAUUCAAUAUCAUUGAUUAAAGGUUAAGAUUCAUGAUCAAUACAACAACUUCUU